GACGAACGCUGGCGGCGUGCUUAACACAUGCAAGUCGAACGGAAAGGCCCUGCUUUUGUGGGGUGCUCGAGUGGCGAACGGGUGAGUAACACGUGAGUAACCUGCCCUUGACUUUGGGAUAACUUCAGGAAACUGGGGCUAAUACCGGAUAGGAGCUCCUGCCGCAUGGUGGGGGUUGGAAAGAUUUUUUGGAUGGGGAUGGGCUCACGGCCUAUCAGCUUGUUGGCGGGGUGAUGGCCUACCAAGGCGUCGACGGGUAGCCGGCCUGAGAGGGUGACCGGCCACAUUGGGACUGAGAUACGGCCCAG
rnacentral:rRNA from 1 species